GAUUUCCCCUUAGAGUUUGAUCCUGGCUCAGGACGAACGCUGGCGGCGCGCCUAACACAUGCAAGUCGAACGGAGCUGUUUUCUCUGAAGUUUUCGGAUGGAAGAGAGUUCAGCUUAGUGGCGAACGGGUGAGUAACACGUGAGCAACCUGCCUUUCAGUGGGGGACAACAUUUGGAAACGAAUGCUAAUACCGCAUAAGACCACAGUGCCGCAUGGCACAGGGGUCAAAGGAUUUAUCCGCUGAAAGAUGGGCUCGCGUCCGAUUAGCUAGAUGGUGAGGUAACGGCCCACCAUGGCGACGAUCGGUAGCCGGACUGAGAGGUUGAACGGCCACAUUGGGACUGAGACACGGCCCAGACUCCUACGGGAGGCAGCAGUGGGGAAUAUUGCACAAUGGGGGAAACCCUGAUGCAGCGACGCCGCGUGGAGGAAGAAGGUCUUCGGAUUGUAAACUCCUGUCCCAGGGGACGAUAAUGACGGUACCCUGGGAGGAAGCACCGGCUAACUACGUGCCAGCAGCCGCGGUAAAACGUAGGGUGCAAGCGUUGUCCGGAAUUACUGGGUGUAAAGGGAGCGCAGGCGGAUUGGCAAGUUGGGAGUGAAAUCUAUGGGCUCAACCCAUAAAUUGCUUUCAAAACUGUCAGUCUUGAGUGGUGUAGAGGUAGGCGGAAUUCCCGGUGUAGCGGUGGAAUGCGUAGAUAUCGGGAGGAACACCAGUGGCGAAGGCGGCCUACUGGGCACUAACUGACGCUGAGGCUCGAAAGCAUGGGUAGCAAACAGGAUUAGAUACCCUGGUAGUCCAUGCCGUAAACGAUGAUUACUAGGUGUGGGAGGAUUGACCCCUUCCGUGCCGCAGUUAACACAAUAAGUAAUCCACCUGGGGAGUACGACCGCAAGGUUGAAACUCAAAGGAAUUGACGGGGGCCCGCACAAGCAGUGGAGUAUGUGGUUUAAUUCGAAGCAACGCGAAGAACCUUACCAGGUCUUGACAUCGGAUGCAUACCUAAGAGAUUAGGGAAGUCCUUCGGGACAUCCAGACAGGUGGUGCAUGGUUGUCGUCAGCUCGUGUCGUGAGAUGUUGGGUUAAGUCCCGCAACGAGCGCAACCCUUAUCGUUAGUUACUACGCAAGAGGACUCUAGCGAGACUGCCGUUGACAAAACGGAGGAAGGUGGGGAUGACGUCAAAUCAUCAUGCCCUUUAUGCCCUGGGCUGCACACGUGCUACAAUGGCCGGUACAGAGGGAUGCCACCCCGCGAGGGGGAGCGGAUCCCGGAAAGCCGGCCCCAGUUCGGAUUGGGGGCUGCAACCCGCCCCCAUGAAGUCGGAGUUGCUAGUAAUCGCGGAUCAGCAUGCCGCGGUGAAUGCGUUCCCGGGCCUUGCACACACCGCCCGUCA
rnacentral:rRNA from 1 species